CAUUAAAUUCAUCAUGCUUGCGCAGUGCGCCCCGAACAAAAACCACUUGAAUUCGGGGUUCGAACGGUUCGAAAACCUGGAAUCCGGAGGUUACACAACAAAUUUGAUUCAGCUGAAUCAACUUUGAGCAGACCAUGGACACCGAAGCAGUGGAGUUGGUUCGUCGAAUCAGGACAACCAACAAAGGGACAUUGCUCAUUCCAUCAAUUCCCCCUUCUGGACAGUCAUCGAAAGCAGAUUGGGGGAGAGAAUUGAAGCGAUGCCUUUAUCAGCGGCAGCCCCUCCAGCUGGACGAUAUUUUGAAGCUGUCUCCGAAUAUAUCAGGUACAAUCAAGAUAUCGCGACCCAACAGAGACCGGCUUUUUGCGUUUCAGGUUCCGCUCUUUCACAGGUCGUUAAAACCAGGCGGUCGUGAUGGAAGUUCCGCUUCUGCCAUGAAGAACAGCCCUACAGGAGAGUGGGAAGCGGAAAGCAUUAAAGAAAGGACUCAGUGUGGGUAUAUUGUGAAAUCAUUCAAUAAAAAUGCAAUUUUGU